GCAAGAAUCACUUGCAUGCUGAUAAAAGCCAGGGAGGCUCAGAGAAGCUAGAAACAACUGGAUCAUCAACACAAACUACUGCACUCCACUGGAAUUGAACAAAGACCUUUGCUGAAAUGCCCUAGCCAGCAAGAAAUGGUAACAUUCAGAUGAGAGAUGACCUUCAAGCAAGUACUGGUUAGAGUAUACAUGAGAAGCUAAAGGAAACCAGAAAAAUGAGAACCAUUUGAUUCUCUACAUACAAACUACCUAUGGAAGCCCAGAGAAAUGACUUCUGGCUUAGUAGUUUGCAGCCACUCUCACUCCUCCAAAAUUUGCAGUUUAAAUUUUCACCGUCUCCAACCUCAGGUCUAAGUUCCUCAAGUAGUAUAAAACAUGGAAACAGUAAUAGAUGGAGAAAGAAAGUAAAUUGAGAUUCUUACUCGAGGGAAUUUAUAAAAUUCAGUAUCUAUGAUUCAACUGUAGCAAAUGUAAUUUAACUUUUUUUUUAAGUUUAAUAACAGAGCAGCUUCUCUGUAAGCCACAAAGUUGGCAUCUGAAAAAGUUCUGAUAAACAGUUCAAGCUGUAUGGAAUGUCAUCUCUAGUACUUCUUAAUGCUCUUUAUUUGGUAUUUUGCAUGGUGUGAUGGAAUCAUUUCUUUUUCUUUUACCUGGCAAUGUAAUACUAUCUGUGAAUUCUCAUGGGUUCUAAGAAUAUGAAAAAUAACUUGCAAAAUGAUGUUUUCAGAUAUCUUUCUAGUCUAUGUUAAUAUAAAAUAUCUCACCUUCAUGUUUGAAGCUCUCCAAUCAAAAUGUGCAAAGAGAAGGAAGUGGUUUUAAAGUAUGGGACUUUCAAGGAAUGAUACAGGACUGUGUGGGGCAUGGCAUGUAGGCUUAGGAUAGUAUGAGGGAAGUAAGUGUUUAGAAGUUGGAAAGAAAAGCACCAUGAUGUAAGAGAUAAACCAACAAAAGGUAUGGCGGAUGCCAAGCAGAAACUGUCCAUCUCCAUAUUUAUUAAGGAUCAUCUUGUACCCAAUAAAGUGGGUUUUUUUAAACAGAUAUCUUUCAUUUAUACCAGGUUUCAACCUACUACCUAUUAUGGCUUCUAAUCUUGUCCAUUAAUUUGUGUGUUUUUGUCAAUUUAAUAAGUUUUAUUAGCUAGUUUAUAAAUAGGAUUUUGUGGAGCAGUUUGGAAAUUCAACCAUCACUGACUGUGUUGCUCCUAUAAACAAAUUACAGUUCAGAUUAAAAAAAAAACAUUUAGAACACACUCUAUUUAAAAGUCAAGAGGCUGGUGGGGAGAGGAAAUGGACAGUUAUUGUGUAAUGGAUAUAGAGUUUCAGUUUUGCAACAUGAAAAAGAGUUCUGGAGAUAAAUGGCAAUGAUGGCUGUACCACAU
rnacentral:lncRNA from 1 species